rnacentral:rRNA from 1 species
GACGAACGCUGGCGGCGUGCCUAAUACAUGCAAGUUGAACGCUUGAUUUUCACCGAAGCUUGCUUCACCGAAAAUCAAGAGUAGCGAACGGGUGAGUAACGCGUGGGUAACCUACCUUUCAGCGGGGGAUAACUAUUGGAAACGAUAGUUAAUACCGCAUAACAAUGUUGGAUGCAUAUUCGACAUUUGAAAGUACCAAUUGGUACACUGAGAGAUGGACCCGCGUUGUAUUAGCUAGUUGGUAAGGUAACGGCUUACCAAGGCAACGAUACGUAGCCGACCUGAGAGGGUGAUCGGCCACAUUGGGACUGAGACACGGCCCAAACUCCUACGGGAGGCAGCAGUAGGGAAUCUUCGGCAAUGAACGAAAGUCUGACCGAGCAACGCCGCGUGAGUGAAGAAGGUUUUCGGAUCGUAAAACUCUGUUGGUAGAGAAGAACGUUGGUGAGAGUGGAAAGCUCAUCAAGUGACGGUAACUACCCAGAAAGGGACGGCUAACUACGUGCCAGCAGCCGCGGUAAUACGUAGGUCCCGAGCGUUGUCCGGAUUUAUUGGGCGUAAAGCGAGCGCAGGUGGUUUAUUAAGUCUGGUGUAAAAGGCAGUGGCUCAACCAUUGUAUGCAUUGGAAACUGGUAGACUUGAGUGCAGGAGAGGAGAGUGGAAUUC